UGUACCAUCAAGCCAUAGAGAGUAGGGUGAAGCUUGAGGACUCUAUGGAUACAUUAUGUAUACCUGAGGUAUACACAGCACAGAGAGGGUUGCAUCUGAGACCCACUGUACCUCCUGAGAAUUUAAGACCCUCAAGCAUGGAGGAGACUUCAGCCAAGAAAGCACCAACAGUUUGCGUGGGCAAAGGAACCACCGGCUUACUUUUAAACGCACUUUUGUCCAGUGUUUUCUCCACUGGAGUAAAAGAAAACAUUGAAAAUGAAAAACAAUAUCCCCAGGAAGGGGAAGAAAUUGCUGUUAUUGGAAUCAGAGCAAGGAACACAACAGACUGCCUUUCCCCAAGGGCCGGCCGUCUCAUGUCAAUCACAGCUCAUUCUUGAAAACAGAACUGUGGAGGACAUAUGUCUUGUGUCUAGAGUGAGAGAACAGUACAUAGAGAACAAGGAACCUCUCUGCACGAUAAAAUCGAGAGGUAAAAAAUAUUGAGAGUAUGUUUUCCUAGUCUCUCGCUUCUAUGUUUUGCUGAAACAAACUCAAAGUCUGUAGCAUGAAAUGAGAAUUUGGGGAAAGCUGAAAGAAAUAUCGAAAAACGCACAACGGAACAAAUGUCCUAUUUCAAAAGGCAGGAUGUGUGUGACACUAUUAACUCAGAACCUACUGGCUGGAGUUUCGGACCAUGCUUAGUCAGUUUCUCUUUGAUGUUGCCAAUGUGUAAGGAAACAUUCCUCUCUUAAUUGGUUGAUAACACAGCCCCACCGCCCCGGGUGGUUACAUUCUAACCAUGUCUUAGGUGGUCAGUGGGAGAUGUGAUCUGGAUGGAACUCAUGCUUUCUUUUUCCUCUUGGAUUUUGUUGUUGUUGUUCACAUGCAAAAAUAAAUGACCAUUAUAUGCGAUUUA
rnacentral:sRNA from 1 species